AGCUUUUCGCAUUCGUGCAGAGAUUUCGUCAGAUGCCAACCAAUUAGGACUGAUCAGACUUCCAAGAUAAGUGAGGUU
rnacentral:pre_miRNA from 1 species